GGGUAAUGGCAGGCCUGCUUUUUUUGGACCUUAUUCUCAUGUUGUGCUGUGUCAAAAUCUGGUGUAACUGGAAGAAGAAAUGCCUCUGGAACUUCACAAGACCAGCCAAAUACCUCCAUCAGGGAGAAGUGGGCCUGUCAUCGUGCAUCUCAGUGCCAGUGUCCAUUGUCCCUUCCAGAGGUGUAUUACCAGAUUGUAGCUGGAAGUAUGCUACAACCAGUACCUAGAACAGAACCGACUCUCCCUGAAGGGACUGGCCUAGCUGCCCAUCCAGGACAGGCGGUGCAGCCCUCUAGCCAGGGAAUGGAUUAUUCAAAAAGUUGUAUUUACUUGUAAAAAUUUAAAUGUUUAUUAAAAGCCUUAUUUGAAAUAUAA